rfam:Schistosoma mansoni strain Puerto Rico chromosome 1, complete genome
AUCUAGCUGACGAGUCCAACAUAGGACGAAACACAUAUUAGAU